rnacentral:rRNA from 1 species
UGGGGAAUCUUGCACAAUGGGGGAAACCCUGAUGCAGCGACGCCGCGUGAGCGAUGAAGGUUUUCGAAUCGUAAAGCUCUGUCCUAUGGGAAGAUAAUGACGGUACCAUGGGAGGAAGCCCCGGCUAACUACGUGCCAGCAGCCGCGGUAAUACGUAGGGGGCGAGCGUUGUCCGGAAUUACUGGGCGUAAAGGGUUCGCAGGCGGCAUGGCAAGUCCGAUGUAAAAGGCGAAGGCUCAACCUUCGUAAGCAUCGGAAACUGUCAAGCUUGAGUGAAGGAGAGGCAAGGGGAAUUCCUAGUGUAGCGGUGGAAUGCGUAGAUAUUAGGAGGAAUACCGGUGGCGAAGGCGACUUGCUGGACUUCAACUGACGCUGAGGAACGAAAGCGUGGGUAGCAGACAGG